GGUUCCCUCCGAAGUUUCCCUCAGGAUAGCUGGAGCCCAUUACGAGUUCUAUCAGGUAAAGCCAAUGAUUAGAGGCAUUGGGGACGCAACGUCCUCGACCUAUUCUCAAACUUUAAAUAGGCGGGAUGGCUCGGCUGCUUCGGUGAGCCGUGCCACGGAAUCGGGUGCUCCAAGUGGGCCAUUUUUGGUAAGCAGAACUGGCGAUGCGGGAUGAACCGGAAGCCGGGUUACGGUGCCCAACUGCGCGCUAACCUAGAACCCAC
rnacentral:ncRNA from 1 species